rnacentral:rRNA from 1 species
GGGGGGGGGGUGUCGGGAUUAUUGGGCGUAAGAGCUCGUAGGCGGCUUGUCGCGUCGUCCGUGAAAACCCGGGGCUCAACCCCGGGCUUGCGGUCGAUACGGGCAGGCUGGAGUUCGGUAGGGGAGACUGGAAUUCCUGGUGUAGCGGUGAAAUGCGCAGAUAUCAGGAGGAACACCGGUGGCGAAGGCGGGUCUCUGGGCCGAUACUGACGCUGAGGAGCGAAAGCGUGGGGAGCGAACAGGAUUAGAUACCCUGGUAGUCCACGCUGUAAACGUUGGGCGCUAGGUGUGGGGGGCCUCUCCGGUUCUCUGUGCCGCAGCUAACGCAUUAAGCGCCCCGCCUGGGGAGUACGGCCGCAAGGCUAAAACUCAAAGGAAUUGACGGGGGCCCGCACAAGCGGCGGAGCAUGCGGAUUAAUUCGAUGCAACGCGAAGAACCUUACCUGGGUUUGACAUGGCCGCAAAACUGUCAGAGAUGGCAGGUCCUUCGGGGGCGGUCACAGGUGGUGCAUGGCUGUCGUCAGCUCGUGUCGUGAGAUGUUGGGUUAAGUCCCGCAACGAGUGCAACCCUCGUCCCAUGUUGCCAGCAAUUCGGUUGGGGACUCAUGGGAGACUGCCGGGGUCAACUCGGAGGAAGGUGGGGAUGACGUCAAGUCAUCAUGCCCCUUAUGUCCAGGGCUUCACGCAUGCUACAAUGGCCGGUACAAACCGUUGCGAGCCCGUGAGGGGGAGCGAAUCGGAAAAAGCCGGUCUCAGUUCGGAUCGGGGUCUGCAACUCGACCCCGUGAAGUCGGAGUCGCUAGUAAUCGCAGAUCAGCAACGCUGCGGUGAAUACGUUCCCGGGCCUUGUACACACCGCCCGUCACGUCACGAAAGUCGGCAACACCCGAAGCCGGUGGCCUAACCCCUUGUGGGAGGGAGCCGUCGAAAGUGGGGCUGGCGAUUGGGACGAAGUCGUAACAAGGUAAC